GAUGAAGAACGUAGCGAAAUGCGAUAAGUAAUGUGAAUUGCAGAAUUCAGUGAAUCAUCGAAUCUUUGAACGCACCUUGCGCCCUUUGGCCAUUCCGAAGGGCAUGCCUGUUUGAGUAUCAUGAACACCUCAACUCUUUAUGGUUUUCCAUGAUGAGCUUGGACUUUGGGGGUUUUGCUGGCCUAUGGUCGGCUCCUCUAAAAUAAAUCAGCUUACCAGUGUUUGGUGGGUAUCAUGGGUGUGAUAACUAUCUACGCUUGUGGUUUUCCCACCAGGUAACCUUCGACAGCGGAGGUUCACUGGAGCUCAUAGAUGUCUCUCCUCAGCGAGGACAGCCCUUUGAAUGUUUGAUCUCAAAUCAGGUAGGACUACCCGCUGAACUUAAGCAUAUCAAUAAGCGGAGGA
rnacentral:misc_RNA from 1 species